GUGGGUUUAGCUCAACCGGUUAGAGCGUCUCCCUGUGAAGGAGAAGGCUGGGGGUUCGAAUCCCCUAACCCACC
rnacentral:tRNA from 1 species